UUCCGAUUGCCGCUCAGUCCUUAAGUAUUUUCAUUUUUUACCACAAUCGAAAAAUAUAGUUCUAGGUGCGAAAUGAAAAUUAGUUUCGUAGCUGUUAUCGGAAAGUCCAGUAUCCCUUACUAUUCUUUCUCAUUACGAUCACCGUUGCCAUAUUUUCCAGUAACUCUUGCGAAAAUUUAAUGCUUGCGCAACAAUAAAUUGACGUUAAAGCCU